CCGAGUUAUCUGGCUGCCUUGUGGUAGACUGUUAGACUGCGUGGUUAGUGUCCCACUAAAGUACCGAAUUGACGGUUGCUAACAUUCAAACGGCAAAGAAAUGAUCUUUCUUCUUCAUUUAUUUUGGUUGUCGGUUAUUCCGCAGUUUCGGUGAACUACAGGAUUAUAUGCAUUGUUAUUUGAGGAUGUCUACCCAUCUUAUUGUCGAUUUGCGGCAUAAGUGUUACCAUUUGUUUUGUUACUCGACGUCGAAGAUGGCAGGAGAUUCAAAUGAGAAUUGUGGUCGGGAAACGAUCGAAGCUUGUUUUAUUUUUCCGAUUUUAACACCCAUGGUAAAAGAUGUAUGCGGCAUACAAGCAUCCUCAUUCUCACUCUCCUAUUUGUAAGAAAUACUGUGGAAGCUUUGGCAAAGUAAUGGUAGGUCAUUAACCCUUUCACGUAUUCAGGUAAGUUGUCUAAGACCAGUUAUUUCAUGUAAAAGAAGAAGAUACAUUAAACUUUUGCACAUGGAUUUUUUCGAGUAUUUUGUUAUUUUUUACGAGAAUCCUAAUCUGUUUGAUAUGUUCAUACACAGGGAUCUACAGACGAUUGGAUGUUAAGGAUAUGCUCCGAAUAAGGCCGUGGAGAUGACUGGAUGCUGGAGACGUGGAACUACCCCCUUGAGUGGAAGGAUCAUCGAACAAGGCAGUGGAGAUGACCGGAUGCUGGAGAUGUGGAACUUUCCCUUCAAGUCGAAGGAUCGCCGAACAAGGUUGUGGAGAUGACUGGAUGCUGGAGAUGUGAAACUUCCCCCUCGAGUUGAAGGAUAUCCGUACUAGGUGAUUACUGGAUGCUGGAGACGUGGAACAUCCCCUUUGAGUCAAAGCACUGACGUAUAAGGCCGUGGAGAUGACCGGAUGCUGGAGAUGUGGAACUUCCCCUUCGAGUUGAAGGAAUAUUUAACAGGGCUGUGGAGAUGACCGGAUGCUGGAGACGUGGAACUUCCCCUCGGAAGGAUCACCGAAUAAGGCAGUGGAGAUGACCGGAUGCUGGAGACGUGGAACUUCCCCUUAGAAGGAUCGUUGAAUAAGGCCGUGGAGAUGACCGGAUGCUGGAGACGUGGAACUUCCCCUCGGAAGGAUCGUCGAAUAAGGCCGUGGAGAUGACCGGAUGCUGGAGACGUGGAACUUCCCCUCGGAAGGAUCACCCAAUAAGGCUAUGGAGAUGACCGGAUGCUGGAGACGUGGAACUUCCCCUCGGAAGGAUCACCCAAUAUGGCUAUGGAGAUGACCGGAUGCUGUAGACGUGGAACUUCCCCUCGGAAAGAUCGCCGAAUAAAGCCGUGGAGAUGGUUGGAAUGCUGGAGACAUGGAACUUCCCCCUCUAGUUGAAGGAUCAUUGAACAGUGGUGGAGUGAUGGAGAUGACCGGAUGCUGGAGACGUGGAGAUGAUUGGAUGCUGGAGAAGUGAAACUUCUCUCUCGAAUCGAACAAUCACUAAAAAAGGGCGUGAAGAUGACUGGAUGCUGGAGAUGUGUAACUUCCCUUCGAGUUGAAGGUUGCCAAGAAGGUUGUGGAAGAUGCUGAACUUCCCCCUUAAGUCAAAAGUUCACCAAAAAGUGCAGUGGAGGUGAUCAGAUGCUCGAGACGUGGAACUCCCCUUUUGUGUUUGUGGAUCACCAAACAAGGCAGGGAAGAAUUAAUUUGGAAUUUUUCACAUGGUGGUAUUCACUUAUUUUGGUAGGUUUUCCUUUUUGAAACUGAGUCAGGUAAGUUCACAGAAUUUAGAGUACCUUUUUUAUUUGUAAUAAUGUUAAAAUUUCAGUUAUUUUCUAGUUUUCAAAUAAAUUGUGGCUAACUGUUAAUACGAGAAAACCUUAAUGGAAUUGGCCCUUAGGAGUAAUUUUAUAUUCUUUUCAGGUACAUUCCAUAAUUCAGAGCUGUUUUUCUCUGUUACUUGUUAUAUGUCACGAGGAAGGGAAACUUCAAGCUUUUAAAGACAUCUCAACUCAACAUGUGACAAAGUAAUUUUUAAGACUGAGGAAUAGCAGCUUUAAAUUUUCUUAGGGUUGGAUUUUCUUAUCAGAUGGCAUACAGUAUCUAUCAAGUACAACAUCAUGCAGUAGAUGCAACACUUCAGGGCAAUUGCAACUUUUUAAGGAAUGUUAAAAGGAAAAUGGCUAUUGGCGACAGUCGUUUUUGCAAAGAAUAUUAUGGAAGUUUAGUCAUGGUACAAAACUGUGAUUUGGUAGGUUUUUAUUGUAUGAUGAAUUCAGGUGAGUUAUAAAUGUUUAAAAUUAUUGUUUUUUCCUGGGCAUAAGAAAUAUUGAUAUUUCUCAUAUUCAUUUUGUUUCUUCUUGGCCAUGAAAAGAUAAUGCCUUUAAUAUGUCCUUAAACAGGUUUUGCAACUUUUAAAGGAAUGUUAAAAGGAAAAUGGCAAUUGGUGACAGUCGUUUUCAAUCAUGGUACAAAACUGUAGUUGUUUGGUAGGUUUUUAUUGUAUGAUGAAUUCAGGUGAGUUAUAAAUGUUUAAAUUUUUUAUUGUUUCCUGGGCAUAUGAAAUACUGAUAUUUCUCAUAUUUAUUUUGUUUCUUCUUGGUAAUGAAAAGGUAAUGCCUUUAAUAUGUCCUUAAACAGGAUUUCAAAGUUGCCCAUGGUUGAGGAUAGUACUUAACUCUGAUAGCAGGGUUUUGGAACCAGCGAGAAGCACAGUUUCCAAAUCUGUCAGCCUAAUACAAAGGAAACUUGUUAGAUAAGUCAUCAAUGAGAAAUCUUCUUUUCCAAGAGUUUCUAUGGAAUUGCGUGGUGAAGAAGUACAGUUUCUUUGAAUAAGUGUUCAUUUUGUGUCAUUCAGAUUGCAAGAAUUGACAAAGAAAACUUUAACCAAGAAUUCCUAUAUUUUAGAAGGUUUACUUAUGAAACUUGGAUCAGUUGGACAAGAUGAAUGGUUCUGUAAUUCUUAUUUUCAAGAUAUCAUCAAUACCUUAUAUGGAGAGAAACACAAGUGGGUAAAGCAGAGGUCUGUUAAUUUGUCCAGUUGUAAUUCUUCGCAAAGGAUGUAAAUGUCAUGAACUUUCAAGUGUUUUACAGCCUUGAUCAAAGCAGCUAUUGGACAUUCAGAACUCUUGUUGAAGGUAUCCUUAAAAUGCGUAGCACGUAAACACUUUUUUCGUUAAAUAAUUUGCUGUGACAUCAGUGAUAGAAACUGACUAACUGAUAUGUUGGUACAAGAAAGAACACCUCUUAUUUCACUUGCAUUAAGUGCCCUGUACAAUGCAAUGUUAGCCACAAAUUAAGGUUUAAGCGGACUGAACUAAUGGAUGACUUUCCUAAGAUCACUUCCUUGUGAUUUCACCAUAAACCAAUGUACCUCUGUCUUGUCAAAACUUGUGACUUUUCGUUUACUUACUCCUGAAAAAAUGUAAUAUUGGAAACUUAUCAUUUGCAUAUCCUAAUCGCAUUGGUAGGAAUGGCUUUUACUUUACACCAUUAAUUCCCAUAUCUCACAAUAAUAGCUUAACACGUAAACCAAGAUGAUACCCAUGAUAUGAAGUUUGGAAGCUUGUGUGCACUGGUCAUAGUUGUGAGGGAUAGGAACUAUAUAUUUUUAAUAUCUGUAGUGUUUCUUUACAUUCAUUCCUUAUUUGUGUUCCUCUGUCAUGUCACUACCUUAAUUUUUUCAAAGAACAUCAGUGUUGCAUUGACCGUAACCUUAGAUUGCCAGAGAAUUAUUACUUCCUUUUUAGAUUUGCGUUUAAUUCUUAAACUUCUGAGGUUAGUAAAAUUAUAUCUCUUGUAUUUUUGUUUUGUAAAGGAAAUACAAAAACUAGACUCAUCUGAGAAGAGUGAACUAGUUUUUAACUCCCCUACUUAAUAUAGCUCAGCUUCAGUUAAUAACCAUAGCUAGUAUACUAUCUGGAAUUGGUGUAAAUUUGGAAUUUUGUGCUUCUUUUAUUACAUGAAAAUUAGUUAUAAGAACGGUUAUAAGAAUGUAUGGGCUGUCAUUUUCCUUCGACAUUUAUACCUUCUUGGAUCCUACCACAUCUUUGCUAAAAUAAUCUUUGUUGACUUUCUUUUCCAGUUCCAAAAGGUAGAUUCUAAAGUGGUCUUUUCUAUUCACUGGUGAUUCUCUGUACUAAUCAUGAUUUCCGUAGGGCUAAAAGUACACGUUACUCAUGCUGAUUCUAAAACGUUUUUUAUUAUUUCAAAAUCAUGCUGUGUUUCUAAUUGUAUCAUCAAAACUAUUUGCCAUUUUAAGUUGUCUUAGAAACACUGCAUGAUGAUAGGAGAGCCUUGUCAACAGAGCCUCUAAGCCUUAUAUUUGGACAAUUUUACAUUUUUUUAAGAUUUUACAUGCUAAGUGUUUCUGUAAAACUAAUAAAUCAUGAUAGUAUUUUGAAAAUGCUGAUAACAGUUUUUGCUGUUAAAGGUUGAUUUUCCACUUUAUUGUAAAGAAAUAAUUGAAUAUUUUUCAUAAUCGAUACUAUGCAUCAGUGACGAUAUAACCUUUUACAGGAUGGAAGGUGUGGGGAUUUAUCACAUACAACAAAAUUAUUUUCAUUUCAUAUAAAGAAAAUUGUGUAUUUUAAUCAUUCUCCAUUUGCUGUAGUAGCUUUUACAUAAAUAAAGAAGUUGGUGUACCACAGAAAUCGCCAAAUAUUAUUUACCACCGCUUUAUUGGCUGGAUUUAAAACUUGCACAAACAUAUCUUAUAACACUUAUUUGUAUUGUCUUUAUGUCGGAUGAAUUUGUAGUAAAUGCAGCAGUGUAAUGAUAUGUGGGAAUAUUAUUUCACCUUCAUUGUUUGCCCUCUUUUAGAAUUUGUAACUAAAAAAAUGGUCUGAGAUGAAAAAGAUUUCUAUUGGAAUAGUGAAAUAAGUUUACACAUUAAUUACCACUAUAUAUGUGCAUCAUAUAUCUUAGUGAGAUGGGUCUCGAAAUAAAUCUUGGGAAAAACUGAAGUUAAAGGGAUGUAUAAUAUGUACAUAAGAUGAUAUAACACAGGAGGGGGGAAGAAUAAAUGAGACUGAAGCUUUCAUAUAAUUAGGAACAAUGAUAUCUUAGUACAGGUUCUCUCGAUAUGGAAUUAGUGGAAGACUUUAAAAAAUGUGCAAAUGAAACAAUAUGCAGGCUGAAUAAAAUUUGGAAAUAAGGUAGAGUGAAAUGACAUACAAAAACAUAAGAUUAUACACAAGGCUAACAAGGUCUUAAUUGCUAUUGAGACACAAAUCUUGUUAUGGCAGUUGAUAAGAUAAUGAUAAAUGGGAAAUGGAUAUUUCUUGGACAUGUCUUCUCCAGAACCCUUGACCUUAGAAGAUACUAUGUUGUUAUGUCAGCUGAAGUCCUGUUGGUACCAAAAGAGUUAGAAGACCCAGACCAAUAUGGAUAAAAGCUAUAGGAAGGGAGGCUGUUAAAGGUUGAUUUUCCACUUUAUUGUAAAGAAAUAUCUGAAUAUUUUUCAUAAUCGAUACUAUGAAUCGGUGAAGAUAUAACCUCUUACAGGAUGGAAGGUGUGGGGAUUUAUCACAUAUAACAAAAUUAUUUUCAUUUCAUAUAAAGAAAAUUGUGUAUUUUAAUCAUUCUCCAUUUGCUGUAGUAGCUUUUACAUAAAUAAAGAAGUUGGUGUACCACAGAAAUCGCCAAAUAUUAUUUACCACCGCUUUAUUGGCUGGAUUUAAAACUUGCACAAACAUAUCUUAUAACACUUAUUUGUAUUGUCUUUAUGUCGGAUGAAUUUGUAGUAAAUGCAGCAGUGUAAUGAUAUGUGGGAAUGUUAUUUCACCUUCAUUGUUUGCCCCUCUUUUAGAAUUUGUAACUAAAAAAAUGGUCUGAGAUGAAAAAGAUUUCUAUUGGAAUAGUGAAAUAAGUUUACACAUUAAUUACCACUAUAUAUGUGCAUCAUAUAUCCUAGUGAGAUGGGUAUCGAAAUAAAUUUUGGGAAAAACUGAAGUUAAAGGGAUGUAUAAUAUGUACAUAAGAUGAUAUAACACAGGAGGGGGGAAGAAUAAAUGAGACUGAAGCUUUUCAUAUAAUUAGGAACAAUGAUGUCUUAGUACAGGUUCUCUCGAUAUGGAAUUUAGUGGAAGACUUUAAAAAAUGUACAAAUGAAACAAUAUGCAGGCUGAAUAAAAUUUGGAAAUAAGGUUGAGUGCAAUGACAUACAAAACAUAAGAUUAUACACAAGGCUAACAAGGUCUUAAUUGCUAUUGAGACACAAAUCUUGUUAUGGCAGUUGAUAAGAUAAUGAUAAAUGGGAAAUGGAUAUUUCUUGGACAUGUCUUCUCCAGAACCCUUGACCUUAGAAGAUACUAUGUUGUUAUGUCAGCUGAAGUCCUGUUGGUACCAAAAGAGUUAGAAGACCCAGACCAAUAUGGAUAAAAGCUAUAGGAAGGGGAGCUGUUAAAGGUUGAUUUUCCGCUUUAUUGUAAAGAAAUAUUUGAAUAUUUUUCAUAAUCAAUACUAUGCAUCGGUGAAGAUAUAACCUCUUACAGGAUGGAAGGUGUGCGGAUUUAUCACAUACAACAAAAUUAUUUUCAUUUCAUAUAAAGAAAAUUGUGUAUUUUAAUCAUUCUCCAUUUGUUGUAGUAGCUUUUACAUAAAUAAAGAAGCUGGUGUACCACAGAAAUCGCCAAAUAUUAUUUACCACCGCUUUAUUGGCUGGAUUUAAAACUUAAACAAACAUAUCCUAUAACACUUAUUUGUAUUGUCUUUGUCAGAUGAAUUUGUAAUAAAUGCAGCAGUGUAAUGAUACAUGGGAAUGUUAUUUCACCGUCAUUGUUUGCCCCUCUUUUAGAAUUUGUAACUAAAAAAAUGGUCUGAGAUGGAAAAGAUUUCUAUUGGAAUAGUGAAAUAAGUUUACACAUUAAUUACCACUAUAUAUGUGCAUCAUAUAUCUUAGUGAGAUGGGUCUCGAAAUAAAUCUUGGGAAAAACUGAAGUUAUAGGGAUGUAUAAUAUGUACCAUAAGAUGAUAUAACACAGGGGGGGGGGAAGAAUAAAUGAGACUGAAGCUUUCAUAUAAUUAGGAACAAUGAUAUCUUAGUACAGGUUCUCUCGAUAUGGAAUUUAGUGGAAGACUAAAAAAUGUACAAAUGAAACAAUAUGCAGGCUGAAUAAAAUUUGGAAAUAAGGUAGAGUGAAAUGAUAUACAAAAACAUAAGAUUAUACACAAGGCUAACAAGGUCUUAAUUGCUAUUGAGACACGAAUCUUGUUAUGGCAGUUGGUAAGACAAUGAUAAAUGGGAAAUGGAGAUUUCUUGGACACGUCUUCUCCAGAACCCUUGACCUUAGAAGAUACUAUGUUAUUAUGUCAGCUGAGGUCCUGUUGGUACCAAAAGAGUUAGAAGACCCAGACCAAUAUGGUUAAAAGCUAUUGGAAGGGAGGGUGGAGAUUUUGGGAAGACAGAGGUGGUAGAAUUUCACAUUGUCCCUUUGCAUUAUGCACUGUUGAAGAUGAUGAUGAAUAUGUCUGAUUGCUAUACAAAUAACUAGUAAGAUCUGCGUAAGAGUUGACCCUAAUUGUUCAGCAAUAAAUUAUAAAAAAAAAAACAUCUGAUGAAAACUGAGAUAUUAGAGGGAAAUAAUUCUCCAAUAAUGGUUGGUGAUAUACUGAUCCAAAGAAUUGCCUGUACAAAACGUGGGUUGUAUUAAGUAUUCUCUGAUUGUUGAUGUACUUUUUAAUUACUGGUGUAAGCUAUUAUUAUAUUUAUUAUUGUCCUUAUUUUGUAUGUGUGCUUGAACAGACAUUGUGAAAAAUAUGU